rnacentral:rRNA from 1 species
CGCGGGGGCAACCCUGGCGGCGAGCGGCGAACGGGUGAGUAAUGCAUCGGAACGUGUCCCGUAGUGGGGGAUAACGCCGGGAAACCGGCGCUAAUACCGCAUAUGCUCUACGGAGGAAAGUGGGGGACCUGCAAGGGCCUCACGCUAUGGGAGCGGCCGAUGUCCGAUUAGCUAGUUGGUGAGGUAAAGGCUUACCAAGGCGACGAUCGGUAGCUGGUCUGAGAGGAUGAUCAGCCACACUGGGACUGAGACACGGCCCAGACUCCUACGGGAGGCAGCAGUGGGGAAUUUUGGACAAUGGGGGCAACCCUGAUCCAGCCAUGCCGCGUGAGUGAAGAAGGCCUUCGGG